UAUAUUUAUCGAAGAGUAUGGAUUGAAAAAGUUUACAUACAUGAAUAUAAGAUCUACAGAUCAGCAGAAGCAAGAAAAAAAAGGUGAAAUGGAUCUGUUUUAGAAAACAGCUUUUUUCAUAUUUCAACCAACUUAGAGAUGUUCAUCUAUUUACCUUUAUGUAUUGAAGUGGAGAAACAGGCUUAGGGCUCAGAAUGAUAGAAAACCCUUUUAUUAGAGUGUAUAAAAACGAUUUCCUUUUGAAAUUUUCUGAAUUCAAUUUAGUCUCCAAUAUACACACCUAUGGCUGUUACAACAAAAUUUCCCAUAUGUCCACACUACAAUAAGCUAUUUGUGGAGCCAGUCUCCAAGGUAGCUCUCAAUGAUCCCUACCUCUGGUAUUUAGCCUUUGUGUAGUCAUCUCUCAAACUGAAUCAGGGUUGGUCUGUGUGACCAACAGAAUUUGGCAUAAAUGAUGGUAUAUGAUUUCCAAUUCUGGAUUAUAAAAUACAUUGUGGCUUUUGCCUUUUUCACUCUUCACGCAAUCUGAAGGAAGCCAUGGAAUAGCCAAGCAUACCUUGGAGAGACUCAUGUGAUGAAAAACAGACCUCCUGCCAAAAUCCAGGCAAUCUUUAAAGCAGUGCUAUUGAGUCCUACAGACUGCAUGUUACAUAUGAUGGAAACAACGAUUCCCCUUGGAGGAACCUUGUUACAUACAGAUUCUGCAUCCAGUUCUUCAGGAAGGAUCAGCAGGACACUACUGGCACCCACGGCACCGCCAGUAUGUGAGGCAUAAUGCCGUUGCUUCCUACAGGAGCCAUAUGUUUGCUUCUUUUCCACGACACCCCAUGCCAUUGCAUAUUUACCCUCUUUAUCCCAAGACAUCUCUGUGUUAGGGACUGGUGUCCAAAUCAUAACCAUGGUUUCUGGUUUGAGAUA